UUUUUGGAGAGUUUGAUCCUGGCUCAGGACGAACGCUGGCGGCGUGCCUAAUACAUGCAAGUCGAGCGGGUCUCU
rnacentral:rRNA from 1 species